AGGCUUCCAGGGAGGUAACUUCUCUCCCAGUUUUAUGUGAACCAAUCAGGUGUGCAUGGGUGGGGUUUUGUUUGUAGGCGAUAUAGACAGCUGUAUUCCGAUACCUGCAACAUUUGUUGCCUUUCAGUGACAAGGAAUACAUCAGAGGUCAGUUAUUUACAGUCGUUUUUCUACUUAAAACAUUGGCCUUCGUGUAGAUUCAAGCCUUGAUUGGAUGUUGUAAAUUGAGUCUUCCAAGUGGAUGCAGCUGUAAACAACUUGGAAUCUACACGGUCUUAGAAGGUCUGUGUGCGGGUCAUGUUGUCCUCAGCCGAGGACUAACCUCACGUUGAACCCCCUUGGAGAUACUAAAGGAGACACCAGAGGGCUGAAAACAUACAGGUGAAACUUAAUGGUCCAGAUAUGGCAGCGCCUGUGAGAUACCCUUGGUGGAGAGCAUUUGUGACAAGGAAGAGUAUUCCAACAACCCAAGAAUCUGGUGAGACCCAACCUUCUGGGGAGAAGAUGUCUCCUAUCUCCUCCAAAUCUACCCCGGACUCAAAGGGAAAGGAAACCUUUCCAGAUGCAGAAACCUUUGACGAUGCAGAGUUUGAGCCAAUGUUCAAUGAGAAAACCUGUAGACGGAAUCUCAAAGUUUCACGUUCUGGACGUUUUAAGGAGAACAGAAGAGUACGGGGGACCAUACCUGACAAUAACAACUUCAGUGGAAGUGUUGCUGCGACUGCUGUUGCUAAGUAGUCCAGGCUACAUCAUGAUCUAUCUACCUGCCAGACUGCAACCUGUUAUGGAGCAUGGAGCAUUGAUGAUGAAAUAUGAAUAUAUUAUAUUUUUUUAAAGAUAUAACUUUCAUAAUGUUCAUCAAUUGCGCCUAUCACCAGGUUAAUAUAUUAGAUAUACACCUAAUUCAUAAUAUGUUUAGGCCAAUGAAGCAUGGAUACGGAAUAGUUAUGAAGUAUCAAAUAAUUGUAAAGAAUGAUUUCAUAAUCAUUUUAUAGUGAAUUCGGGAAGUAGCUCCGUCCGGGACUCAAACCAGGGUCCGGUAACUGUCAAGCCAAGACCUUAAUGCCAAGAGUUCUGGGUUAAGGUUACAAUAUUACCACCUUCCUUCAGGAGAGUGUCCCCACACUUCUCUAUACCAAGUCUCUCUCAUGUGUACACGCCUCUCAAAUGGGCUCACGGGCACCAUCCCACUUCACUAGGUGUGGGUUAAGGUCUCCUACAAUAUCGAUUUUCAAGUAUGUUUUCAUAUUUCAUACACACACAGCCGAAAGCACAUGAUAUCUAAUGUUACAAAUAUAUCCAGCCAGGGUCAAUUACUUAUUUUGUCAUUUGUUUAAAUUGGUUUUUGUGUGUUUGUUUUCUUGACAUGAAGGACUUGAGGUGGUUUGAUAUGAAGAACAUGAGGUGGUUUGAUAUGAAGGACUUGAGGUGGUUUGAUAUGAAGGACAUGAGGUGGUUUGAUAUGAAGGACUUGAGGUGGUUUGAUAUGAAGGACUUGAGGUGGUUUGAUAUGAAGGACUUGAGGUGGUUUGAUAUGAAGGACAUGAGGUGGUUUGAUAUGAAGGACAUGAGGUGAUUUGAUAAAGGACUUGAGGUGGUUUGAUAUGAAGGACAUGAGGUGGUUUGAUAUGAAGGACAUGAGGUGGUUUGAUAUGAAGGACAUGAGGUGAUUUGAUAUGAAGGACUUGAGGUGGUUUGAUAUGAAGGACAUGAGGUGGUUUGAUAUGAAGGACAUGAGGUGGUUUGAUAUGAAGGACAUGAGGUGAUUUGAUAAAGGACUUGAGGUGGUUUGAUAUGAAGGACUUGAGGUGGUUUGAUAUGAAGGACAUGAGGUGGUUUGAUAUGAAGGACAUGAGGUGAUUUGAUAAAGGACUUGAGGUGGUUUGAUAUGAAGGACUUGAGGUGGUUUGAUAUGAAGGACAUGAGGUGGUUUGAUAUGAAGGACAUGAGGUGAUUUGAUAAAGGACUUGAGGUGGUUUGAUAUGAAGGACUUGAGGUGGUUUGAUAUGAAGGACUUGAGGUGGUUUGAUAUGAAGGACAUGAGGUGGUUUGAUAUGAAGGACAUGAGGUGGUUUGAUAAAGGACUUGAGGUGGUUUAAUAUGAAGGACUUGAGGUGGUUUGAUAUGAAGGACUUGAGGUGGUUUGAUAUGAAGGACUUGAGGUGGUUUGAUAUGAAGGACAUGAGGUGGUUUGAUAUGAAGGACUUGAGGUGGUUUGAUAUGAAGGACAUGAGGUGGUUUGAUAUGAAGGACAUGAGGUGGUUUGAUAUGAAGGACUUGAGGUGGUUUGAUAUGAAGGACUUGAGGUGGUUUGAUAUGAAGGACUUGAGGUGGUUUGAUAUGAAGGACUUGAGGUGGUUUGAUAUGAAGGACUUGAGGUGGUUUGAUAUGAAGGACUCACAUACAACCAAACUUUAUUUAGAUCAUGUUGGAUUAAUCUGAUUCUGUUCAUACUGUACUAGGCUACCUAAGGUCUAGUAUGCACUAAUGCAGUGGUUCCUAACCAUUUUUUGGUUACUGUACCACCAACUGAAUUUUGCUCUGCCUAGAGUACCCGCUCAUGUGUAUUUGACCAGUAAACCUAUGGUCUCAUGAGUCUUCUCAAGUACCCCUGUGGAUAGACCAGGUACACCCAGGGGUCUUAGUACCACUGGUUGGGAACCACUGCAGUAAUGAACUCUUACAGAGGAUGUGAAUGAAGGAUAUGCCAGCAUGUACAUUAGCUAGUGUUCAGGAGAUUGUAAGAUUACAUUUAGUUGUUUACAUCACAUAAUACUUUAAAUGUAAAAACAAAAAAAAAAAAAUCUGUAUUUUGUACUGCAAUGUACACACAAACGCGCACACUCACUCAGGAGUUACAUAUGACGUUAAUACACCUUUGUUACAUAUUUAUUGUGGAUAAUAUAUUUACUAUUUAGUCACGAUCUCAAAAUAUCUGUUUUGAAUGGACUAUGCCUUCUGUCAUCAUUGUUACCAGUCUACUAAAGGUUUACUUCAGAGAUGUACAUGAAGAGAAAAUGGCUACAAUAUUGUAAAUAAAUGUGUAAAUAUGUUA